AACCUGCCCACUGAGGAUUUAAAUGGCCGCGGUAUUUUGACCGUGCAAAGGUAGCAUAAUAAUUAGUUUUUUAAUUGAAAGCUGGAAUGAAAGGUUGGAUGAGAAAAUAACUGUCUCUAUUUAGAUUAAUUAGAAUUUUAUCUUUAAGUAAAAAAGCUUAAAUAAGAAUAGAAGACGAGAAGACCCUAUAGAGUUUUAAUUUAGUUGGGGUGAUUGAAAAAUUUAAUAAACUUUUUUUAUGUUGAACCAUUGAUUUAUGAUUGACUGAUCCUUAAAUUAAGAUUAAAAGAAAAAAUUACCUUAGGGAUAACAGCGUAAUUUUUUUAGAGAGUUCAAAUCGAAAAAAAAGAUUGCGACCUCGAUGUUGGAUUAAAAUAAAAUUUUGGUGUAGAAGCUAG
rnacentral:rRNA from 1 species